UUCAGCGUGCAAUAGCUUGGAUGACUGCCAUAAUUACUGGUUUGGAAAUCACUGUAGACAUAAUAGCAGACAUUGUAUCGAUGGCCAUUGUGAAUGUCGACGUCUUAAUUGAUAUGGUUGUCAUGAUCCUCAACAUUCAACACAUGGGAUUUUAUAUUCAGGGAAUAUUGAUAUAAACCUUUUUAAGAAAAUUAAUUGUAAAAACUGAAAUUAAUUCCGGGACGUUA